rnacentral:rRNA from 1 species
UACGGAGGGUGCAAACGCUGCUCGGAAUCACUGGGCGUAAAGCGCACGUAGGCGGCUCGAAAAGUCGGAUGUGAAAGCCCUGGGCUCAACCUAGGAAGUGCAUUCGAAACUGCCGAGCUUGAGUACGGGAGAGGGUUGCGGAAUUCCCGGUGUAGAGGUGAAAUUCGUAGAUAUCGGGAGGAACACCGGUGGCGAAGGCGGCAGCCUGGGCCGAUACUGACGCUGAGGUGCGAAAGCGUGGGGAGCAAACAGG